GAACAACUGGACUUCCUUCGCAGCAUCACUGAAGCAUCUGUUCAGAGGAAAGCAUGAGCUCUCAUUCUGACGGCACCCAUUCACUGCAGAGCAUCCAUUGCUGAGACACUGAUGCAAUGCUACAUUUCUCCAAAUCUGAUGAAGAAACAAACUCAUCUACAUCACCUAUAGCAUGAGGGUGAGCACAUUUUCAGCAAAUCUUAAUUUUUGGCUGAACUAUCCCUUUCAACAUUAUUGCUGAUUUCAGCUUCAAAAAGAAAAGAAAUUAAGUAACCAAUUGAAUCAUUCAAACUCCUAUCGAAUGUAAUAACUCCUCUUCAUGAGGUAGCAAUGCCUCUAUCAGUACAUCACUUGAUAGGGAGUAUAUUUCUUUCUCUCUUGCAUCACCAAAUGAGUUGCAUCAUCCUCCCGCUGUGCAUGCAGUAACAUUACUCAUCGUGUGACAUGCAUGUGUUGUGUCUGGUCAUCUGAACAGAUUGCCUGGGAAACAUAACAGUGUCUUUGCCGGCUGCUCUGUUCUGAGAAAACAGCGUGUCAUGAGAACAAUGCCGUCAUUUGGCUCCGGAUGGGACUGUGCAAAUCAAUCGGCCUUUAAAUGGAGCGACACAAUCAGCAUUGGGUUUCCAUCACAUCAGAGUUCAGAUGCUUUGGCGAUGCAGGAAGUUCUCUCGAUGGCUUCAGUUACAAGGGUGCAGCAGCAGAAGCCGUGCAGGAGCGAGUUUGACCAGCAACAGUUGGAGCAAAAGAACCUGAAGAACAACUACAGCUCAUGUGUUUGCCAGAAGUUUCUCCAGCCACCUGUAUAGCGGUGAGCUGAAAUCUCCAGGAACGAGUGAUGGAUCGCAGGUGCACCGAAGGAGCUUUGUUCUCCUCGUCAUCAUCAGCUUUCACUUAAAGCUGGGUUCAAUGAAAAUAGAAGGUGUCAUCAUUUAUUCGCCCUUAUUUCUGUUCCAGUCCUGGAUGAUCGUUUUUGUAGAACAAUUUGAAAAACGUUCAAGCUGAAGUAAACAAGUAAUUAAAAAAAAAUAUUAUAUUAUAUUAUAUUAUAUUAUAUUAUAUUAUAUUAUAUAUAAAAUUUAGUGCUGGGCAAUGAUAAAUGUAUUUUUAAUCGUGAUUAAUCGCACGAUUGUCUGUGAUUAAUCGCGAUUAAUCGCAUUAUUCACAGCAUUCAUUAAUGCAUUCAGAAGUAGUGUAUUUUGCACUUUUUUCAUUUAAAAGUACUGCUAUAUAAACAAAAGUGCUAUAACAUUUGGUUUGCAAACACUUUAAACAAAUAAGGUGCUUUUUUUUACAGCAGUAUUCCAUUUUCAUAGUAGCAGUUAAAAUGUUUCUUGUAAAUCUCAACUUGUAACAUUAAUGGAAUCAAAUUAAUGCAAGAUAAAAUAAUUCUCAGCAU
ensembl:lncRNA